UACAGAGGGUGGCGAGCGUUAAUCGGAAUUACUGGGCGUAAAGCGCACGAGUCGGCUUUGCAAGUCGGUUGUGAAAUCCCCGGGCUCAACCUGGGAACUGCAUCCGAGACUGCAUUGCUAGAGUAUGGGAGAGGGGAAGCGGAAUUUUCUGGUGUAGCAGUGAAAAUGCGUAGAUAUCAGGAAAGGAACAUCAGUGGGCGAAGGCGGCUUCCUGGACCAA
rnacentral:rRNA from 1 species